rnacentral:snoRNA from 1 species
UUGAAGCUAAUUAAGCUGACCAAGACUCUUUCCCAACAGGGAACUGAUGCACAAUGGUUGCAAAGAGCAGCCUCCUUAGUAGCAUAUGCAGGAGACACAUUUAUGGCAGUU